AAGGUGGAGAAAAACUGUUGUUCAUGGAGGAAAAAGCCACGAUCCUCAGCGAAACAAACCAGAAAUCGGAACCCAAAGAACCUCCAAUGACACCAAAGGUCGACUCCAGGGUCAAAGCACAUCAGAGUCAAACAUCAGGAGACGCUGGAGCCAAAGUGGAGACAACGGAGGAAAAGACCGGAAUCCCCCACAAUGCAUUUCAGCGAGUAUUUUGGACGAAGGAGAACAAACGCUGAAACUUUGAGGGAACUCUUUGUUCACAGAAAUGCAGCUCUCUCUUCGAGGAGAGAGGACUGCUGUGAGACACGGAGGAGGCUUGCUUAUGGUCUGGGCUGCUUUGAAACGUCUGGCUGGAACGGGUCAGUGAGACAUUACAGUCACUCUGGAGCCAAACGUGCUUCCAGAGGGUUUCCUCUCGCCCUUCAUGCGUCCAAAACACCGGAGGGAUCUGCAACGUCCUCCUGUGAGCCCAGAGGAACCCGGAGACGAUCGUGUGGAGUAGAUCCAACGGAUCCAGAUCCAACGGGACUCGAUUUUGUGCCGAUAAGACCAGAAGAGACUUCUUUUACGAUUCAAAUGUUUGGAGAUCCAGAGAACCCGAGGAGGAAGACGAGCCUUCAGAGCAGAAAGAGAUGAUCCUCAGUGAGACCGGACCGGCGCACGGAACCGGUUCUGUUCUGCGGAGACUCUUAUCUAAAUGACAGUGAUAAUGUAAAGUGUGUCAAUUCAGCCGACGGUUAAUCGUGGGACGGAUUUGUUCCAAAGUUAAUAAAAGCAAAAGGCGCAGACAGGAAGCACAAAAACGGACAUCCUAUUAGUAAAGAGCAGCAGCGGGGAUUAAUGUGACAGAAUGGGAGCACGCAUGCAGGUGAUGUGAAGCUUUUAUUUUGAAAGGGCUCCUCCAUUUAAUUAUUUUUUCUGCCAAAGACGGAAACAGCAGCGUCUGCGUUUAAGAUCACAAAUAUGAUUUUCAUCUACAGUUCAGGGUUUUAUUCCUCUGACUCCCUUGUUAAUCUGUCACAGGGACUUUUCGCAGCCCAAUCCCUAAUCUCUGCGUCUCAUCUGGGAAAACGCUCAGCUGCUGAGUCAGCUUGAAAAGAAAAGCCUGCGGUUUAAAUAGGACACUUCUGCUUGCCUCCUGUGGGAUGGUGGGUGGGGGGGGUCCUGCUGGACCGAUACCUGGCCUGCCGGGUUCAAACUGUCUACAAACCUGCAGGACGCUGCACGUUUGGGAGGGAGAAAGGGGAAAAGGGGGGCUUCAGAACGACAUAAAUAUUACAUUUACUUUUAAACGUGAGAGUAAACCUUUUAGACUAAAUGUUUUGGGACAACGUUAAGGUGAAAACGUGACGGAUGGACAAACAUGUUACGGUUUCAGGCGACAUCAGUUACUGCAUGAGAUGUCAUGAAAGUGGUCAAAGUAACUCAUUACUACCAGAGUAUCACCAGUUUCUCUCUUUAUUCUAGUAUUUUCCACCAGCUUUACUCCUUCAUUUUUCAGCUAUUUCAACCAUCCAACUAUUCAAAUGUUCAGCUCUUUCAGCUUUUUCUAGUUCUGUCUUUUGGUUCUUUAAAUCCUUUACAUUUUCAAGAUUUUCCACGAUUUCUGUCUCCAUUGAAAUAAAUGGGGAAUCCUUGGAGUAGAA